CUUCCCCUCCCAGCAUAUGGACAACAAUUUUCACGGAAGGACGGUCCACUGGGUUCCACAGAAUGCACCACAGACCCGCCAUUGCUAGUUUCUUUGCAAUUUUAGCAUCUUCUUCUUCUUCCUCGAUAUGGAACCGUAGCGGGGUAAGACCAGGUGGAGUCUGUAGAUGAUGGCUGCUAGAAGAUCCAGGAGGGCUACUUAUGUUCUUGCCAGUUUCUUCAACUCUUAACCGUUGAUUGGAGCUGCAAAUUGGCACAACAGCUUGUUAGAUGUUAUUGAAGCUGAAAAAAAAAAUCGGAAAAGAGGAAUAAAUGAACUAAAAAAAUCAUCCUGCUUUAUUGGUUAGAUAGUUACCGUUGUCGAAAGUUGGAAGUUUGGCCACUAAGCAAGAAGGGGCUUGAGCAACAGCAUGUGAAGUUUGUCAUAUCCUUCGAAAAAUCUGUAUACUGCUGUACAUGAAUGAUUCGAGAAUGUCAGUUUGAAACUUGAGCUUCCAAA